rnacentral:rRNA from 1 species
GUAGGGGGCAAGCGUUAUCCGGAUUUACUGGGUGUAAAGGGAGCGCAGGUGGCAAGGCAAGCCAGAAGUGAAAACCCGGGGCUUAACCCCGGGAUUGCUUUUGGAACUGUCUGGCUAGAGUGCAGGAGGGGCAGGCGGAAUUCCUAGUGUAGCGGUGAAAUGCGUAGAUAUUAGGAGGAACACCGGUGGCGAAGGCGGCCUGCUGGACUGUAACUGACACUGAGGCUCGAAAGCGUGGGGAGCAAACAGGAUUAGAUACCCUGGUAGUCCACGCCGUAAACGAGGAAUACUAGGUGUCGGGGAGCAAAGCUCCUCGGUGCCGCAGCAAACGCAAUAAGUAUUCCACCUGGGGAGU